GUAGGACUGAGGACCCAGUGCGCUUGCUCUCCCUCCUGGGAGCCGCCAGAGCCUUUCCCUUUUCCUGCUCCCUCCCCAUACCCCCCCCCCCCUUGUUGCCAUUAUCAUUACCUUCCUCACUCCCAAGCUCCCAGGGCUCUUCCUUUACCUCAUAACUCCUUUCCUCAGCCCAUCUCUUCUACGAAUGACUUCCGCUACCUCUGUGACUUUAUAAAGAAAUAUUCUCUUCUAGUUGAGUCUUGGCUCUGAAUUCUUUCCCAGCCAGAACCCAAGUACCGAGGUUGCUGAACCCAGGUCCUGUCUGACCCUAUGGGUCUAAGACCCAGUGCCAUCGGCGCCGCUUGCAAGGGAAGAAAAGACGAUUCUGGAACCUACAUCAUCAGGCUGGGGUGGACACUGGACACAGAACCAAAUCAAUAGUCAACAUACAGUGGAGGCGGUUUCCCAUGCAAGCUGAACAGACGUCCUUGGGUCUGAGCGGUCUGAAGUAUUCACUCAGCAAACAGUGUCACCUGCUGAGAAGACAAAGGAUUCGCUUUAUUGCUGUGGUCUGGAGCCAAACCCGCAAUAUCUCGGAGGCGCGCCUGAGACACUAAGCAGAACCUGAUGCCUGGUGAACAAAGACUUGAGAAGUACCCGCCCACCUUCCAGUUAAGAAACAACUGGGAAUGAAGGUUGAAAUCACCCUGGCAAUCAUAGAAGAGGCUCUGCCUCCUCCCGGGGUCACCGUGGACACGUGAUCGGAACUAUUUCCAACCCCUCAUUGGACUCUCGUGAAGACGAAAGGGUCAUUCCUCCAAAAGUCAAGCAUGAAGGUACCAUAGUAACCGGCAACUCCACUCCUAGGCGAAACCCGAGAGAAAUGAAAAUGCAUGUCCACACGGAGACUGUCCCUGAGCGCUCACAGCCGAUCAUUCAUCACAGUCAGAAGGUGGGAGCAACCCAAAUGCCGGUCAGCAGACGAAUGGAUAAGCACAUUGAGACGUAUCCACACCACGGACCCUCACGGGGCCAUGGGAGGGAAUGAAGUGCCACCACCUGGUGUAUGAUUCCAUUUGUAGGAAAUGCCCAGGAUAGUCAAGCCUCUAGAUUCAGAAGGGUGACUAGUGGUUGCUUUGGGCUGGGGCGGGGGAGGGGUCUGGAGGGGGAACUGGGUGAUAGCA